rnacentral:rRNA from 1 species
AUGGUGGCGGCAGGGACUCGGUUGCCCUGCUCCUGUGUGGGGAACCUCGGAUCUGGAUCGGUGGCUUCAUUGGCAAGGCACGGCCGACUAACAACCGUGCGGGUGGUGGAUCCGGUGCCCCGAUCAUGCGGGCGGCAGGAUCGGUGGUCAUUGGCGGCCGGCGGCGGCUUCUGCGGCGGUCGGUGUGCGCGAUUUGGCGCCUCCCUUCCUCCCCUGUUCGGCGUGCAGGUCAGCCUGGUCGGGCCGCGCUUCCUCUCGGUCUCGGUUCUGUAUAGGAGGUGCUGCUGGUGGUGGAGAUCUAGUUCGGGCGAAAUCCCUGGCCGGCCAUGA